UACGGAGGGUGCAAGCGUUAUCCGGAUUUACUGGGUUUAAAGGGUGCGUAGGUGGGUAGGUAAGUCAGUGGUGAAAUAUGGCAGCUCAACUGUCAAGGUGCCAUUGAUACUGCAGAGCUUGAGUACAGAUGAGGUAGGCGGAAUUGACGGUGUAGCGGUGAAAUGCUUAGAUAUCGUCAAGAACACCUAUAGCGAAGGCAGCUUACUAGGCUGUAACUGACGCUGAGGCACGAAAGUGUGGGGAUCAAACAGG
rnacentral:rRNA from 1 species